rnacentral:rRNA from 1 species
UUGGAGGGCAAGUCUGGUGCCAGCAGCCGCGGUAAUUCCAGCUCCAAUAGCGUAUAUUAAAGUUGUUGCCGUUAAAAAGCUCGUAGUUGAACUUUCAUGGGCUCACGCGGUCUGCCUCACGGCAAGUACUGUGUGGGUCCGUGCUCCUGGGUGGUGAGCCGUCAUGUCGUUUACUCGGUGUGGCGGGGAACCACCUCUGUUACCUUGAGAAAAUUAGAGUGUUCAAAGCAGGCCUAUGCCCGAAUACAUUAGCAUGGAAUAACGAAA